UUGAAUUGAAGAGUUUGAUCAUGGCUCAGAUUGAACGCUGGCGGCAGGCUUAACACAUGCAAGUCGAACGGUAACAGGAGAAAGCUUGCUUUCUUGCUGACGAGUGGCGGACGGGUGAGUAAUGCUUGGGAAUCUGGCUUAUGGAGGGGGAUAACGACGGGAAACUGUCGCUAAUACCGCGUA
rnacentral:rRNA from 1 species